UCGAGCGGAGAUGAGGUGCUUGCACCUUAUCUUAGCGGCGGACGGGUGAGUAAUGCUUAGGAAUCUGCCAUUUAGUGGGGGACAACAUUCCGAAAGGAAUGCUAAUACCGCAUACGUCCUACGGGAGAAAGCAGGGGAUCUUCGGACCUUGCGCUAAAUGAUGAGCCUAAGUCGGAUUAGCUAGUUGGUGGGGUAAAGGCCUACCAAGGCGACGAUCUGUAGCGGGUCUGAGAGGAUGAUCCGCCACACUGGGACUGAGACACGGCCCAGACUCCUACGGGAGGCAGCAGUGGGGAAUAUUGGACAAUGGGCGGAAGCCUGAUCCAGCCAUGCCGCGUGUGUGAAGAAGGCCUUUUGGUUGUAAAGCACUUUAAGCGAGGAGGAGGCUACCUGGAUUAAUACUCUGGGAUAGUGGACGUUACUCGCAGAAUAAGCACCGGCUAACUCUGUGCCAGCAGCCGCGGUAAUACAGAGGGUGCGAGCGUUAAUCGGAUUUACUGGGCGUAAAGCGUGCGUAGGCGGCUGAUUAAGUCGGAUGUGAAAUCCCUGAGCUUAACUUAGGAAUUGCAUUCGAUACUGGUCAGCUAGAGUAUGGGAGAGGAUGGUAGAAUUCCAGGUGUAGCGGUGAAAUGCGUAGAGAUCUGGAGGAAUACCGAUGGCGAAGGCAGCCAUCUGGCCUAAUACUGACGCUGAGGUACGAAAGCAUGGGGAGCAAACAGGAUUAGAUACCCUGGUAGUCCAUGCCGUAAACGAUGUCUACUAGCCGUUGGGGCCUUUGAGGCUUUAGUGGCGCAGCUAACGCGAUAAGUAGACCGCCUGGGGAGUACGGUCGCAAGACUAAAACUCAAAUGAAUUGACGGGGGCCCGCACAAGCGGUGGAGCAUGUGGUUUAAUUCGAUGCAACGCGAAGAACCUUACCUGGCCUUGACAUAGUAGAAACUUUCCAGAGAUGGAUUGGUGCCUUCGGGAAUCUAGAUACAGGUGCUGCAAUGGCUGUUUCCCAGCUCGUGUCGUGAGAUGUUGGGUUAAGUCCCGCAACGAGCGCAACCCUUUUCCUUACUUGCCAGCAUUUCGGAUGGGAACUUUAAGGAUACUGCCAGUGACAAACUGGAGGAAGGCGGGGACGACGUCAAGUCAUCAUGGCCCUUACGGCCAGGGCUACACACGUGCUACAAUGGUCGGUACAAAGGGUUGCUACCUAGCGAUAGGAUGCUAAUCUCAAAAAGCCGAUCGUAGUCCGGAUUGGAGUCUGCAACUCGACUCCAUGAAGUCGGAAUCGCUAGUAAUCGCGGAUCAGAAUGCCGCGGUGAAUACGUUCCCGGGCCUUGUACACACCGCCCGUCACACCAUGGGAGUUUGUUGCACCAGAAGUAGGUAGUCUAACCGCAAG
rnacentral:rRNA from 1 species